rnacentral:snoRNA from 1 species
GAGUGGAGAUGAGAUUGAGAGGGGAGGAUGGGUUGGAUGAGUAACAAAAGUGAAAACAAAAACUAAAAACUGAAACCUAUUUGAAAUUGUUUUCACUUUCAAGUUUUUGUUUUCACUUUUGUUACUUCUCGCUUCCGUAUUCCCCUAUCAUCCUCCUCACUCUCAUUCUCACUUU